rnacentral:tRNA from 1 species
GCUCCAGUGGCGCAAUCGGUCAGCGCGCGGUACUUAUAAUGCCGAGGUUAUGAGUACAAGCCUCACCUGGAGCA